AUUCCCCUAGGUGCAUGCACACACAUAUGUAGGAAUGUGUAAUCUCACGGGUGAAAAAUAGAUGACACACUCGUCGCCGCGGCUCUACAUGCCGUGUAUGUACAGAUACAUAUGCGUGGAGCGGUGCAGCUGUCAGCUGUGCACGAGCAGUUUUCUUUGUGCUGCACUUCUUUACAGCAACGAGUGAUAAUGAUAACAAUGCCCGACGAGGAAAUGGGGCAAGCACAGCAGGAAAACAUCGGGGACGGGCCUCUCGGCUAUGUUUGUAUACACACACCGCACACAUCCAUGGGCGGGUAGGAAAUCUUUGCAGAACGCCAGGGUUGCCACCUCUGCAUUGCCCACAAAUGCCAGAGCGAUCGAUCGAUAGGCCACCGCUUGUUAUCGAAAAUAAAAUAGAAAAGUUUCUUAUCAGCAAGUGGAGAAAACUAACAUAAAACUACUUAUUAUACAGCGAGUGCAGGGGAAAAUACUUUGGCAGAAAUAAGUACUUUCCAGAACUAAAUAGUACCACGUUUGGGUCUUUAAUUAGAAAGAACUGCCAUACAAUCUUAUCUCACUUAAAGGUUAGUCAAAAGACGUCAGUGAAAUUUCAAACUAAAUGCAUUUAUACAAAUUAGGCUAAUUUCCUGGUAAUUGUUGUUAUAAAUAUAUUAAAAUUUCUAAGAAAUAUUAAACACAAGCCAAACUACGUUCCCUUUUAUGUAGGGUUCCUAUCAAGAAAAAACCCGACUUUCAAAUUAACAUUCAACCUUGUUUUAUGAUCUUUACUUAUACAAUAACUGAAAUUGCCAAGCACAUAUGGAAUUUCUAUGUUAUAUUAAUUUUGGGCAGCAAUUAAAAGGCUAUAAUAAAGAAGUAAGGCAUCGGAAUUCACGAAAUAUGUAAUUUGCAUUUUUCCUGGGAAACUGGAAGAUAUUUCCAUGUAGAAAAUGGAACUCAAGGAAAACGCUCGAAAGUGAAAAUAGGAACUGGUCUGAUUGCAGUCGCAGCUAAUUAACAGACUUUGCACCUACUAAAAACGAGCGAAAAGAGCAGUGGAAUACAAGUGUGCUGGAAGUGCAACCGACUGAGAGCAAUAACGACCGUACACACAAGCAAUCGGGCAGUAUGUGCCAGUGUGCGGAGUGAAUAAUCAAUUGCCGGAGCAGCCGCGAUAAUAUAAUAUGGUGGCCACCCGAGUGGGGCUCGGGCUGGGGAUCGGCCUGACGGGGGACCUAUGGGGCAUGGGACUGCGAUUCCGGGCAAACCGACGCACGCCUUAUUGGUAAUUGCCCACACGGGAAUCCCAAAUACCUUGGACGUUGUACGCCCGAGCAUACAAACAUAUUUCGGAUUGUUUUUCCCCCUCAAAGCGUUGCAUUUUCAGCACUGAGAGAGCGCAGAGAGAUAGAGAGUCAAAUCGCGCACCCACUUCUAUUUUAUAUAAUAAAAUGGCAAUAUUUUACAUUUUAUCUUCGGCGCUGGUCUAUUUAUAGGCUGAAAAACAAAAAGACAGCACAAAAACACCAGAGAAGGCACCCACAACACGAAUGCGCUCUCAACGCCAGUGUUUGUUUGCUCGAGUGUGUGAGUCACACAUCAAGUGGGAAAUAUUUCACGAUAAAAAGUAAAAAUAAAAAGGUGCUAAAUGCCGUCGUACCUCACUCGAAGUUCAUAUGCCGUUUGCCGGGGUUAAUUCCCCACAGUGCGGCACCGACUGUUGAUUCCGGUUAUCGAGAUAGUCGUGAACGUGUCAUCGGAAUAAUCGAAUCAAGGUUUCUAUCGAUAAAAUAUUGAAAUUAUUUAAAAUACCAAUAUUAAAAUAUUUUUUCUGAAAUAAUUCAUCUUAGAAUGUUAAUAUUCAUAGAAUCCCACGAAAAAUAGGUUUAAUACCUGUUAUCGAACCCAGCUAAGUGACCUUUGAUGUACAAUCAACUGAGUAAACUUCAACAAUUACUAAACCAUAAAAUGUCAUCUAUUAGUAUGUAAUUCUGACGUAAACCUAAAUCGUGCUUCCUAAAUGGUUCUCAAGAAAACAGUUAUUUUUUGUGUGGGAAUUACGAAGCGCCUGGGGGGCUUUAGUUAAUUGUAUUUCUGAGAAAACAUUCCUAUGAUGCACACAAUUCGUCCUAAGCUUAUCUGAAGGCACUGAACUCAAACAAAAGAUAUAUCGAAAAAGAAUAAGCGGAAUACGGCAGAUAAGUAUAAAAAGUGCGUACAAUGAACUUGUAGCCCGUUCAAAUUCUGGAUGCAGAAUGACAAAUACAAAAAGGAGCUAACUGCUAAAGAAUCGAAAUUGUUCGUUCAACGACCGAUCAUUGCAUAAUUCAGGUUCGAUUGUUUUAUAGCGAAGAAGUGAAACGGAAAUGCGUAAAGCCCCCAAAUACUGAUAUAUGUGUAUAAAGAGUUGCGAGUGCUGCGGUUCGGAAAAACAUUGACCGUGAAUUGGCAUAAAUUGAAAUUUGAACAUAGGCAAUCAAAGAUUAGAUUAGGGACUUGUAUUCGUCGUAUGUGAGCUUAUUUACGUGACGACCUUAUCUCGACGCGGAAAGGCGGAAAAAAGCGACGACCACACCAAACCGAUGGAUAAAGAAAGCUCUUAGCAGCUGUUUGAGGUCUAGAAAAUCGGAUUCAAACAAAGCGAGCAACAGAAACACCAUUUUGAAAUGUCUUUUCUACGAAGCUUGUAUUAAUGAGCCUCUCUCCCGUAGAAUCUGGUUUUUGGGUCCAGCCGCAAACGAAAACAAAUGAACACGACAAUAAAAAGCAAUUUAAAUUUAAUCAGAAAACACACGAAGAUGUGGGGUCUGAAAACAAAACUACCGGCACACGUUUUCAGUGCUGUUUUACGUAGUCUGUGGCAGUAACAGGUUUUCUGUUAAAUUUAGAAUUCAGACUAAAGUAGGGUGACUAGAAAUUCACAAACUAUCCAGUUAGACACUUAGGACAAAGAAUAAUAUUGCUGUAUGAAAAAAAUACGGCAAAACUUUCUCUUUUAACGCAGAAGACUUGACAUCCAAAGAAAGAAAAAGACGAAAAUAAAUAAAUAAAGCACUUUGGAAGUGGUGGCGGCGUCGUCGAGGUAAAAAACUUAAAUAAAUUUCGAAUAAAAACUUUUUAUAUGUGGUUUCGUAACGACAAGUCGGCGGCAACCGCGAUAUCUUCAGCACAAAUACAUGUGCAUGCUAAUCAACGAAAGGCAAAAAACAUACAAAAUAAAAACCACCAACAAACAACACC